rnacentral:ncRNA from 1 species
GAAAGCCGUAUGCGGGAAAACCGCACGUACGGUUUGAUGAGGAGGGGCUGGGUCCCCCAGCCCU